rnacentral:pre_miRNA from 1 species
UCUUCAUUUCAUGCACUCUCUCACCGGUCAGACAGGCGAGAGAGUGUGUGACAUGAGGAGA